AAGUUUUUCAUCGACUAGUCGCACGAAAGCCUCCAACUAUUGGCGGAACCUCGACGUUUUCUAAUCAUGAUGAAAGCUUGCAAGGAGAUGAUUCUGCUUAUACUUGUGAUCGUCAUGGUCUUCACUGGCAUUGCCGAGGGAAAACGCUGUCCAGACGGAUGUACAGCAGCUGAUUGCAACCAGCAAGAUAUCGCACAUUUCGGACAACCAACGGAAGUCCGUUGCACAUUUAUUGGUCCCGAGUAUUGCCAAUGUUCUUUCAAUUACGGUAACGGAUAAAUGAAAAAGAACAUUUGGUGAGAAUAAUCCGCUGAUGCUGAUUCAGUAAUCUUGACUUCCACCUGUAAAGAUAUUUGGCGGAUAAUAAAGCACCUUGUGAACAUAUCAAA